rnacentral:rRNA from 1 species
UACGUAGGGUGCAAGCGUUAAUCGGAAUUACUGGGCGUAAAGCGUGCGCAGGCGGUUAUGCAAGACAGAGGUGAAAUCCCCGGGCUCAACCUGGGAACUGCCUUUGUGACUGCAUAGCUAGAGUACGGUAGAGGGGGAUGGAAUUCCGCGUGUAGCAGUGAAAUGCGUAGAUAUGCGGAGGAACACCGAUGGCGAAGGCAAUCCCCUGGACCUGUACUGACGCUCAUGCACGAAAGCGUGGGGAGCAAAUAGG